rnacentral:rRNA from 1 species
UACUCCUACGGGAGGCAGCAGUGGGGAAUAUUGCACAAUGGGCGCAAGCCUGAUGCAGCGACGCCGCGUGCGGGAUGGAGGCCUUCGGGUUGUAAACCGCUUUUGUUCAAGGGCAAGGCAGGCUUUCGGGCCUGUUGAGUGGAUUGUUCGAAUAAGCACCGGCUAACUACGUGCCAGCAGCCGCGGUAAUG